GACAGAGGUGCCGAGCGUUAGGCGGAAUCACUGGGCUUAAAGCGUGUGUAGGCGGACUCGUAAGUGCUUUGUGAAAUCCCACGGCUCACCCGUGGAACUGCUUGGCAUACUGCGAGCCUUGAGCCACUUAGGGGCAACCGGAACAAACGGUGGGGCGGUGAAAUGCGUAGAUAUCGUUUGGAACGCCAAUGGUGAAAACAGGUUGCUGGGAGUGCGCUGACGCUGAGACACGAAGCCAGGGGAGCGAACGGG
rnacentral:rRNA from 1 species